AUAAACGCAAGCUGCAUUUCAACUGACAACAAAGUGCAGAGCCCUGAACACAUCUAACAUCUGCCGCAUUGGUUGGAGCACACAAAUGCGCAGUAAUUGGAACUACGGUAAGAGUUGUCUCCCCCUUCGGGGCAGCGGCGCCACUCUACUUCCUUUCAACCGGAAUCCAUAGCUGCAUCUGCUAGAGGCAAGAUUCAGCAAAGAAGGAUG